AGUUUUUGGCCCCAGCGAUCUCUCAUCCCUCACAAAAAAGGGUGUUCAACGAACCAUCGAUUCCGCCACCGUCGACCACUUCCGUUGCUCUCAGUCAAUCAAGGCUUGAUUUAUUGGACUUCAUUCUCUCCUUUUCACGCUCACUUUGGUAACCACCAGUCUCAAGUGGCGCGCAAGUGAUAACAGGUUGAUUCUCCACAAUUCCUUAUCAUUCCAUAUGUUUGUAAAAAUGCCUCAUACAUAUGGAAUCGAAUGAU